AACGUAGGAGACAAACGUUAUCCGGAAUUACUGGGCGUAAAGGGCGCGUAGGCGGCCUGUUAAGUCGAGCGUGAAAUCCCGGGCUCAACCCGGGAACUGCGUCCGAUACUGGCAGGCUUGAAUCCGGGAGAGGAUGUGGAAUUCCAGGUGUAGCGGUGAAAUGCGUAGAUAUCUGGAGGAACACCGGUGGCGAAGGCGACGAUCCUGGACCGGUAAUUCG
rnacentral:rRNA from 1 species